GGAAGCUCAGAGGCACAGCAUCUGCCUUGCAUGCAGAAGGGUCCCAGGUUCAAAUCCUGGCAUCUCCA